UACGGAGGGUGCGAGCGUUGUCCGGAAUCACUGGGCGUAAAGGGCGCGUAGGCGGCCUGAUAAGUAGGGGGUGAAAUCCUGCGGCUUAACCGCAGGGCUGCCUUCUAAACUGUCAGGCUAGAGCACAGUAGAGGCAGGUGGAAUUCCCGGUGUAGCGGUGGAAUGCGUAGAGAUCGGGAAGAAUAUCCGUGGCGAAGGCGGCUCUCUGGUACGGCACUGACGCUGAGACGCGAAAGCGUGGGGAGCGAACAGG
rnacentral:rRNA from 1 species